rnacentral:rRNA from 1 species
GACGAACGCUGGCGGCGUGCUUAACACAUGCAAGUCGAACGGAAAGGCCCUGCUUUUGUGGGGUGCUCGAGUGGCGAACGGGUGAGUAACACGUGAGUAACCUGCCCUUGACUUUGGGAUAACUUCAGGAAACUGGGGCUAAUACCGGAUAGGAGCUCCUGCUGCAUGGUGGGGGUUGGAAAGUUUCGGCGGUUGGGGAUGGACUCGCGGCUUAUCAGCUUGUUGGUGGGGUAGUGGCUUACCAAGGCUUUGACGGGUAGCCGGCCUGAGAGGGUGACCGGCCAACUUGGGACUGGGAUACCGCCCCGACCCCUACGGGGGGGAGGAGGGGGGGAUAUUGGCCCAUGGGGGGAAGCCUGGUGCAGGAACCCCCCGGGGGGGAUGAAGGCCUUUGGGGUGUAAACCGCUUUCGCCCGUGACCAAGGGGGAGGGACGGGAAUUGGUAAAAAAGGCCCGGGUAACCUAGGG